GACGAACGCUGGCGGCGUGCCUAACACAUGCAAGUCGAACGGGGUUGUUCCUUCGGGGACAACUUAGUGGCGAACGGGUGAGUAACGCGUGAGAAACCUGCUUUUCAGUGGGGGACAACAGUUGGAAACGACUGCUAAUACCGCAUAAUGUUAUCUGGGGGCAUCCCCGAAUAACCAAAGAUUUAUUGCUGAAAGAUGGUCUCGCGUCUGAUUAGCUAGUUGGUGAGGUAACGGCUCACCAAGGCGACGAUCAGUAGCCGGUCUGAGAGGAUGAACGGCCACAUUGGGACUGAGAUACGGCCCAG
rnacentral:rRNA from 1 species